CAGGGGAAGCCGUUCCUACCCCCGUGCUAAUGGACCAAUCACGUCUCAGUGCAACGGCGAGGUGCCAUGCGUGCAGCUGCCCCGGACACGGGAGGGAGGCUUAGCAAAAAGUCAUUUCAGGGCCAGGGCCACUUCCUGAUCAAAAUUCGGGAUUACUGCUGUAAUCACUGCUGGUGGAACGGGGCCACGGACCCUGCCCAUGACCGCCUCCCUUGGGGGAAGCCAGACAGAAAAGCCAAUUUUCUGUAAUCCUUCCUGUCUCUCCAGAUGAUGUUGAGCUGUGGAGGAGAUUAAUCAGAACAACACAGGGAGCAUGAGCCAAGCUCUUCGGCCUGAGUCUCUGCCGUGGUCCUUCGCUUCCACACUGCUGCAGCCAGCCCCUUCCCGGGGUUUUCAUAGAGGCCGCCCUUCCCCCGGUGUCUUUCUGUCAUCAGCCUUAAUUAGGUUAUUCGGAGG
rnacentral:lncRNA from 10 species